rnacentral:rRNA from 1 species
GACGAAGGAUGCAAGCGUUAUCCGGAUUCAUUGGGUUUAAAGGGAGCGUAGGUGGUCUUCUAAGUCAGUGGUGAAAUCUCUCGGCUUAACUGAGAAAUUACCAUUGAUACUGGGAGACUUGAGUGUAGUUGCCGUUGGCGGAAUAUGACAUGUAGUGGUGAAAUACAUAGAGAUGUCAUAGAACACCGAUUGCGAAGGCAGCUAACGAAACUAUAACUGACACUGAGGCUCGAAAGUGCGGGGAUCAAACAGG